CUUGAGCUCACAGUAUCACACUGUAAAUAUCACUCAGCGCUCAAGGCGCUUGACACACCGGGAUUGUUUCAUUCCCUGUAUUAAAUGUUGUUCUUUCAUGGAUACAAUGAGUGCUCUCUUUUUAAAAAAAACUUCAUUUUUUGAGGAAGCCCAGGUGGCUCAGCGGUUGAGUGUCUGCCUUAGGCUCAGGGCUAUGACCCCGGGGUCCUGGGAUGGAGUCUCCCAUUGGGCUCCUCGCAUGGAGCCUGCUGUUCCCUCUGCCUGUUUCUCUGCCUCUCUCUCUGUGUCUCUCAUGAAUAAACAAAGAAAAUCACCCACAGCACCCAUGGCACCCACUGCACCCAUGCUAACCACCUUCCGCGUCUGUUCUGUUCUCUUCUUAUGACUGAUCCCUUAUAAGAGCCCCCGUGGUGGCUGCAGUGGUUUGGAGCAGUGGAAUUGAACACCUGUGUGGAUUCACCCUAGGGCAUUGAGUGUCCUGGGUUUAGGGGCUCUGGGUGCGGGUGCUAACAGAAAGGAAUCCUUGGGGACCACGGCGGGGUCUGGGGUCCUGCAGGCCAAUACUUAGGGGAGCUGGAUGGCGGCUUCAUUUUGGGGACACUGCCCCAGACCUUGAUGUGUGUGUCAGGGUUUCCCGGGAGGGAUAACAAGGGGGUGUUACCAUGGGGGCAUCACAUGGAAGGCGUCAUGGGGUGCAUCACAGUGGGGGUGUCAUAGUUGGGACAUCACUGAGGGGCUGUCAUGUGGAAGGUGUCACAGUGGAUCUGGCAUUCCCGGGUGUGGUGCGUCCUCCUAAGCAAGAACUGAGAUGUACUUGGGGUCACCCGCCCUGCUGUGUGGGUGGGAGUGGGGACAGCUGCUCCAGGGAGCCCCUGGCCAUCCAUCCUUGGGAUGUGUCCUUGUCACACUGAGUCAGAUGCAGCGGGGGAGGCACCUUGUAGUGUAUAGGUGCACCCUCCCAUCACACAUACUCCUGGACUAUCUUGUUCUGUGGGGUCAAUGCGACAUUGUCUUAUUUAUCCAGCGAGGCCAGAUUCCGAAGGAGUGGAGGACCGUUUUCCUGAGACUCUCAGAUCAUUGUGCUUCUCAGUGGCCGCCCCAGCGGUGGGAGUGGCUGUGAUGCAGGCACCUGGGGGCUGCGGGGCUGUGGGGCCGAGGGGCUGGGGGGCUGCAGUCAGCCUCAGAGCCACUGGGGGCCUCUGACCCUCAAGUGCGUCACAGUGAAGUUGGGGAAGAGUGACAGCAGCAGGGGACAAUGAUUUCUGUGGGCCCUACAUGGACGCCAUGUGUGGGUUAGGGCAGGAGGGGCGCAUCUCAUUAAGGAGCCACAUCGAAGCACAAUCCCUGAACCACUGUAAUCAGAUGUAAAAUCUGGUUUCCGUCUGAAUUAUGUGUGGUGGACACUGGCUGUCCUUGGAAAAGCCUAGAACACACCCUGCUCUCAUUUCUUCUCUGAUGUGAAGAGUCCACACCCCAAGCGUCCUGGAGGGUCUUCUUUGCAGGGUUAAGCGGGUCGCUGACUUUUGUGCGGGGCGGGGGGGGGGGGGUCACUGCAAGAUUUUUUUUGACAAGCUGCUGUUCCUCUGCAGUACAGUAAUAGCCUAAUUAAUUUUAAUAUUCGCCUGACUGUGCAUCUAAGCCAGUUGGAGGAUGUGUCACAGGAGGAGGUACAAACACGAGACAUGCCAGCAGCAACGUGAGGGAGGUGGCCUCAGGUGGGGGCAGGGCCUUGGGUGGGGGUUGAAGG
rnacentral:lncRNA from 1 species